UAAUAUCGAGUGCAUACAUUCUAUUCCAUACAUCAAGCUCGUUUCAAAUCAAUUACAUUUUUCUUUUUAACCUAUGAGGAUUCACUUGGAAAUUGUGAUGUGUGCUGUUAUCCAUUGUAGUUUAGGUAAACAGGAGAGAUUAAUUUCGUCUGUGAGGAUGGGAGUGUAGCCCUGGGAAGACCUCUACCAGGCAAGAAGAAUGAGUAGGAACUUCAGCGAAACUGUAUUCAAAAUGAAAAGAACUUUUGGAACACAAUGCAUUGGUGGUGACAUAACCUCUUGAAUUUGGCUGGACACAGCACACCUAAGUGUCAUGUCAAAAAUGUGGAGAAGAUAGAAGAUGCCUAAUUGGUAUAAGUCUGAAGCUAUCAGAAGGAAAGGGUUAUGCAGACCGCCUAUUCAGGCCAGCCUAAGGGAUAAUUUAGAAAGUGUAUCCAGAUCAGGGGAUAUACAACUUGAGUGUGUGCACUGUGAAGGAGAAAGACAUGCACAAAGAAUGUAAGAAUUUGUGAGCAAUGUAUGCCAUGGAGGCUUCCCGGCAUGGUUUAAGGCAGAAACGAAGCAGACCUUCAUGUGAUCCAUUCUAAGUCACUUAACCUAGGGCAGUCUCAGGUUUUUUAACUGAAAAAUGAGGCUAAACAUUCCUGUCUCAUAGUGUUGUUGGGGAGAUUUAAUACGAUAGCAUAUUCAUGAACACACUGGGGAUCACAGUGGGUGCUACAUGAGUUUCAUGCUUUUCUCACCUCUUUGAUAAGCAUCACCUAGAAUGCAUAUUAAACAGAUCUCUGGCCCCCCCAAACUGGAUGAAAUCAACAUUUUUAUAGAAGCCAAGUGGUAAUCUGCAUGGUUAGCAGGUGAUGCUUAUCAGAAAAACAUGAGAAACAGCAUUAUUUCACUUCCCUCCCAUCACAUCCCACAUUUCGUGGAACACACAAGUAUCUCUACCAGAAGAAAAAGGCUGUCAUUAAGUCUGGAAUGAGAAAAAUGAGAGAAUUACAAUUUUCACAAAAGACAGACAUGUUUUUUAGUGAUAUGUCUCUUAAUGGCAUUAUUCUGCCAAUACUGUCUAUUCCCUUCUGGGCCUCGAAGAUUUUCAUUGAUUUGGAUAUAAGAACAAAUUGAGUAUUUCCAACGAAUCUACUGAGAAACAUAGUCAAAAUAGCAGUCUUAUUUUUUUUUAUUGCACCAUUAUGAGGAGACAUGGUACAAUCUGGGACUGUGACAUUCUGCAGGUGUGGUAAAAAUACUGUUCAAAGGAAGCCCCAUCAGACAACAAAAGAAGACCUCAUCCAUCCCUUCCUCCACUUUAAUGACUGACAGUGUAUGAAGCCAGAUCCAGGUAAUAUAAAGAGUUUCUAUAGAAGUUCUCUCCUUAUAAACCAUUCUCUAUAAAAGGUUUCCAAGGUACUUAGCCUUAUUCAGAGACAGCAACGAGAUAUCAGUCUAAGGGUGUCUCUUUUGUAGGUCUUGGUAUGAAAGGCGGUCUUUGGUAAUAGGGAAAGGCAGCAUCUCAAAAACAAUUUACAAAUGUCAAAUUGGCAUGCUUUCAAACGGAAAAUAACCUGGCAGCCUGACCAGAUCUUUCCAAAUAUUUAACAUCUCCAUGUAAAUAAAAAGACAGUUUCACGUCUACAGCUCAGAGAGGAAAAUGUUGACACCAGAAAGUCAAAUAUCCAGUCCACCUUAGAGAGGCCAUCGGAGAUCUGAAGAGCAGUGCGGAUCUGGGGCUCUAGGGCCCAAGAGAGCGAGGAGCAUCUGGCCCAGCUUCAGAGUUUCCGUAACUAUCUACUUAAUCACAGCACUCAGGGGACUUUCCUCUUAAAACACAUGUGACUUUGAGUUUAGAAUCUGUGGCUUGUGUGAUUUCUGAUAUGCUGGCAUUCACGAUAUUAUUCUCAUCCCCACUCCCACAGUUUUUAAAUAUUGCCUUGGAACAGCAAACACCGACCGCGCGGCCCCAACCUCUCUCUCUGCCCUUUCUACUGAAGAUCAUAAAAGAGGUGGUUUGGGGUUUGUUUUUUUCUGUAAGUCACUUUCUAUAAAUUUUCUUUUAAGCCAAAAUAACAGCACACAAGAAUGAGAUCUCCAGGGAGCUCCGAAGGAAGCGACCUCAAAAUGACAAGUAUUUUUCUCCCUUACCUUGAAAACUAACGGCAGGCCAAACACUGAGAUUUUCUCAACUCCGCCCUUCCCCCCCAAACUGCCUUGCUUUGUAAGGUCUAGUUCUACUGUGGCGGGAAGAAGGGUCUCUCGGAAAUUGUUUCUACGGUCAAAGACGAGAACCCUGCAGACCCCUCGCCCCUGCUCGCGUCCAGAUCCCUUUACAAGAAAACAACAGUGAGCGAGGAGCCCGUUACUCCUGUUGGUCUGUCCCCUCGAGCGCCCAAGCUCCCCUGCGACUAGGGGCAUCACAUCAUCAAAGAAUAUUUAUACGAGAAUGACUUGUCAAACCAAGAGACACUGAGAUACAAAAUUGGUUCUCAAAGGUCCACAGGAACCACUGACCAUGCAUAGCUAGGAACCUCUCCCAGCAUUUUGCCAACACACCUGAAGAUAAACAAAAGGACAAAAAGAGACUAGAGGAAAAAAGAAGGACUAAGUGGAGGCCUCUGGAUACACUUGAAUGGUGUUCCCAUGCUCUCAGUACAGAGUCAUCCACAUGAAGAACAACCCUGUUUCCUGAGCUGGGGUUUAAUAUCAGCUCGCUACUGGACUGCACCAGCCAGCAGAGAACUGGUCAGGUGCAGUGGUGGGCGGCUAGUAAAAAUUAAAUAACUUUUAAAACAGAGAACCUAGUUAUAAACAAUAAUAUAAAUGGAGCCACUUUAAAUGGAGCCAAAGCUGCCAUGCCAGAGGAACUGCCUUACAUGUUACACCUCAAAUGUUAGAACGUUAAAAACAGGAUAAAAUAACCUUUGGUCUGGCCUAAGCAACUUUAUUUCUCAUAGAACCUAACCAUGCAUUUUGCAAAGGUAACAAAAAAAGCAGUUAUCAUGACUACUGGACUGACGACUACUGGACUGAAAAUUAAAGACAUUGUUUAGAAUCACUAUGUUAUGUGCACCAAUAGGAAUGCCUUCUUUCUCAUAAAUACCCAUCGCCUUUGUCUCCUAAUUGGAACAUUAUUUGGGCUUCUGCGUGAAUUAAUGAUUCUCAAAUAGCUAUUCUUACUGAUCUCAAAUAAACUCUUGUU